CCGCCGCGUCGAGCAGCGUCUCCAGGCCCUUCUGCUGGGCCAGGCGGGCGACCGUGAGCACGAUCGGCCGUUCCUGCAGCGUCCGCGGCGCG
rnacentral:tRNA from 1 species